rnacentral:lncRNA from 1 species
UUUUUUUUUUUUUUUUUUUAAAGAGAAACUGCCUCUUUAAAUGAAAAAAAUGUUUUCCCUUCCUGCUCCAGGUUUUUGACGAACCCAGCCUCCCAUGAACCCUUUCAUGUGGUCUUCUCCUGACAGUUUUCUUCCUGGAUUUUUAGAAAUAUAAUACAACAUAAAAAUUCACAAGGCGGUGAAACAGCAAGAGGUAGAGAUAACAAGAAUAUGUAUUAAGUGUACUCUUCUGCUUGUAUUUUCCCUUAUUAUUUCUGUAAUUUGUGUUUCUACUUUUUUUUUUCCACCUCUGAAGUCUGUUUUCGUUAACGUUGACUUCUGCGAUUCUGUUUUAUUUAAUUAAACUUUUUGAAGACUUUUUUUUUUCCACUCCAUUUAAAUGAAACAUGACUGAGAGGAGAGUGAGUAUAAACAUCUUUGCAUAACUGAUACGUUGAAAAAUGCAUGACCGCUUAAAUGUCACCACUCCGCCGAGCAUUGCUUUUUCAUUCUAGUGCUGCUGAAUUUUAAGGACAAGCUGAAUUGUGCAUGUGUAGCUUUGUUGCAAUCAGGUAGCACCACACUCCUGGGCUAAGAACUGUCUCCAUGAGGAGCAUGUUUGGGGGAAAUCUCAAGAAUUUCUUCCUCUUCCUCCCCCCCACCUCUUUCCUUCCUUUGCUCCCUUCCUUCCUUUCUUCCUUCCUCCCUUCCUUCCUUCUUUUCUUUGGCAAAUAGCCAGCGCUGUGGGCAUGACAGAUGUGAGGCCAGCCUUGGGCUGAGGCAGCAAAGUCCACAUUCCGGGCGGCUCGCCCUCCCCCUGCCCCCGCCUGCUGUGCCUCCUGGGCCUGUGACUGAGCGAGGCUCUGGUUCUGCCAGGUCCAGCAAGCCUCAGGAAUUAAUUUUGUUCUGGGUGGCAUAGCUCUUCCCUGACUGGACUGCUCAUUUCCUUGCUCUCCAGCAGUCAGGCUGCGGUCGCUUAGCCUCCAAGAAUGAGGUAAGGUCUGAUUCCAGCGUCCUACCAGCAGGAUCCCACAGGCAGAAGGGGACAGGGGAAUACAAAUCUGAAAGGGGCCUGAAAGGACACAGAGAAACAAUUAGGUUAUGGAAAGACAGAAUGAAUCAGAGCUAGACGAGCAGAAGGGAGGGGAAGUGGGUCAGGAACCUACCAUUUCCGAAGCACCUCCUGGGGGCGAGACGCACACGUGGCUACAACAAGCGCCAGGCAGAGGAAGACCCCAACGAAGCGCACUGGGUGGGUGGUAGCUGGGCAUGUCCUUGUCAGUUUGCCAUAGUCGCCACCACUCCCCAGUGUCUCUCUCUGACAAACAAGGGAGGACUGUUUUUAAGAAACAGGAUUUUUUAUGUUGUCUCAAAUCUUAGCAGUGUGUUAGGCAGCUUGGGAAUGAUGAGGACAUUGUGAACCAGAAAAAUCUAUGCUUCUUCAGAGGAGACAGCUGCUCCUUAGAUCUCAUCAGUUGUUGCCAGGUAGAGGGAUACAUGUAAAGUGUUGAGCUCUGAUUUUUCAACAAAAGUCGGUGUUCCAAGUUUGAUGCUCGUGUGUAUAUGUGUGUGCGUGUGUGUGUGGUGUGUGUGACAUCUCCUGAUUUUUAAAUGCUGACAACAAAACUUAGACAUUGAGCGUUCAUUGACACCAUCAAAUAAAUGUGCCUGUGAGGCGAAUGUGUCUGGGGCUGGUAGAGUUUCUGACUUGUGGCCUCUGCAGGGCUUGCGCUGGCCGACUCACUUCUUGGCCUGGCCCCACCCGGUGGUUACUGCUCUUCCCUUUUACAGGAGUUAAAGGAAACUGACAGUAAGCUUGGAAGCACAUGGAAUUUAGCAAAUCUCUCCUGGGCACCUCCUGUGUGCCAAGUGCCAUGUUGUUCCCUGCGGGAAGAUGUAAAAGAGUCCCUGCCCUGUGGGGACUUCUGGUCUACCUCAGAUACCGGAGGGCUGUAUGAAAAGUCUACCACCAACACGAUAACAGUUUCGAGCAACAUACAAGGCCUCCCAGGAUUAACUGUCAAAUGAAUCGCACAGAUAAUCAUUGUUAUAGGAACUCCUAGGAGGAGAGAGACCGCUCUAAGUUUGCUCUAUGGAAAGGAAUUUGAACAGGAGUCAAAAGAUUAGGACAAUGCUCCAAAACAGGCCAGAUAAAAUGGAGAGAGAGUCAGAGUGAGAGACUGUGGCAUCUCUCCUCUUUGGAAAGGGUUUCUUCUGGGGAAAAUGUCUCCAUGGAGGUAUGGGAUUUGGUCGGAUCACUUGCUCAUGACUGGUUGGUGAAUUUAUGGAAAAUCCAGGCGUAGAACUCCAGGGGCUCUUUGAGUAAAUGGGUCAUUUUAUUGGGCUCAACCUUGGAUCUUUGAUGGGAAAGAUCAGGACAGCUACAAUAGGAGUCUCUACAGAGUGACGGCAGGGUCCUUGUGCCUGCUGGUUAGAAGCUGUCUCAUCCUGUUUGGGAAUGUUUCCUGUUUUCAUCUAGAAAUCUUUUUUUCAUGUGAAAGUGGUUGUGGGAACACCCAGAUGGUGGCUAUAUCAUUCCUAGGUAUAAGUGUCUGCUUGAUAACUAGUGAACACUUUAUUUACAAAUAGGCAUUGGAGGCUGCUCUCAUGACUUCUAGCCUGGAACCUGGAAGAGGUCAAGAAGAAAACAGGAAGAAAUUACAGCAAGUACAGAGAAUGGAAGGGAGCAUGUGGAUAAUCUGUAACUGAUGUGCUGACAGCAGAGCAGUGCUUUUCAAACUUGAUUUUAUUAAUUACAAAGCCCUUCGUUCACUUAAACUUCUUAUGCAAAAAUCCUCCAGUUUAAAACAGAUGAAAAGGGUCGGCCCCUGUCCCUUGCCACCUAAGCGCUGCAUUUAGCCCCAGCAGGUGGAAAUCCAUGGUCAGAUCUGUUCUCUCGAAGAAUGAGUAGGGUGGAUAUGAAUCAGAGAUGGGGGUCAGGGGUUGGAGGGGAACAGUAUUCUAGGCCCAUUCUUUCCAAACUGCUGGGCACUUACCCAGGUGUUGAGGGCAGUGGGGAAGCGGAAGAGGGCAUUGAAUUUCAAUGUCGGGAGUUCCCGUCGUCGCUCAGCGGUAAUGAACCUGACUGGCAUCCAUGAGGUUGUAGGUUUGAUCUCUGGCCUCACUCAGUGGAUUAAGCAUCCAGCAUUGCCUUGAGCUGUGGUGUAGGUUGCAGCCGGGGCUCAGAUCUGGUGUGGCUGUGGCUGUGUGGUGUAGGCCGGCAGCUGCAGCUCUGAUUUAACCCCUAGCCUGGGAACUUCCAUAUGCUGCAGGUGUGGCCC